UACGAAGGGGGCUAGCGUUGCUCGGAAUCACUGGGCGUAAAGGGUGCGUAGGCGGGUCUUUUAAGUCAGGGGUGAAAUCCUGGAGCUCAACUCCAGAACUGCCUUUGAUACUGAGGAUCUUGAGUUCGGGAGAGGUGAGUGGAACUGCGAGUGUAGAGGUGAAAUUCGUAGAUAUUCGCAAGAACACCAGUGGCGAAGGCGGCUCACUAGCCCGAUACUGACGCUGAGGCACGAAAGCGUGGGGAGCAAACAGG
rnacentral:rRNA from 1 species